AACGAACGCUGGCGGCAGGCCUAACACAUGCAAGUCGAGCGAAGCCUUCGGGCUUAGCGGCGGACGGGUGAGUAACGCGUGGGAACGAGCCCUUUGCUACGGAAUAGCCCCGGGAAACUGGGAGUAAUACCGUACGUGCCCUUCGGGCGAAAGAUUUACCGGCAAAGGAUCGGCCCGUGUUGGAUUAGGUAGUUGGUGGGGUAAUGGCCUACCAAGCCGACGAUCCAUAGCUGGUUUGAGAGGAUGAUCAGCCACACUGGGACUGAGACACGGCCCAGACUCCUACGGGAGGCAGCAGUGGGGAAUCUUAGACAAUGGGGGAAACCCUGAUCUAGCCAUGCCGCGUGAUCGAUGAAGGCCUUAGGGUUGUAAAGAUCUUUCAGUGGGGAAGAUAAUGACUGUACCCACAGAAGAAGCCCCGGCUAACUCCGUGCCAGCAGCCGCCGUAACAC
rnacentral:rRNA from 1 species